rnacentral:lncRNA from 1 species
CCCCCGCAGACUUCACAUGUCCUCUACUAAACACCCCGUAGACUUCACACGUCCUCUACUAAACACCCCGUAGACUUCACACGUCCUCUACUCAACACCCCGUAGACUUCACACGUCCUCUAGUAAACACCCCGUAGACUUCACACCCCGUAGACUUCACACUUCCUCUACUAAACACCCCGUAGACUUCACACCCCGUAGA